rnacentral:lncRNA from 1 species
UUCCCUCUGCAUAUUAGUGUUCAAAGAGGUAUAUUGUUUUGACUUCUAAUUUAAAUUACCGUUUCAAUUGAAAAUAUGAUGUUAGCAUGCAAAUAAAAACUAGUAGGUUAUUUGUCUACUACAGUUUUUCACUUAAUGGUCAGUACAUUAUUCAUGGGAUACGGAACUAGUGUAGAAGUAUAUUUGAUUGACAAUUAAAUUUCAAUUUAUUUUAUAUUUUUGAAACAAGAUGAAUGUUUUUGUUUCUCAUAUGUGUUUAUUUUUUAUUGUUAUCUUUCUCUGCUGUUGGAUAUAUGAUAUUCUGUUUAACACAAUAGUGUUUGAUUUUCUAUUUGGUUCCAAUGUUUGAACUUUGUUGAUGAUGCUAAUUGAUAGGUAGGCACCAAUCUUAUAUAACUGCUCAACAUUGAUGCUUGAACAAAUUACUUGAAUAUCUAACACCUAUUCUUUGUUUCCAUUUUCAUGUAUGACGGAGAAAAUUGGUAAAAAGGAAACUGUUUCUGUCUGACCAGCUGAAAUCAAAUUUGUUUUGGAGUUGCAUCCUCUGUUAGCUAAUAAAUGUUAAAGCGCCACGUCUUUGUCAAAAGUUGACAAUGAGACCAUUAUGG